GGAAGGUAGCCGAAUAAGGCUGGUCGGGCCGGUUUGCUAAACCGUGCGACUGCGCGAGCGGUCGUGUGGGUUCGAAUCCCAUGCCUUCCG
rnacentral:tRNA from 1 species